rnacentral:lncRNA from 1 species
GCUGUAGGUAAGGUUUCCACUUCUGGUACUGAGGACAGUUUAUUACAUGAAUGUAAUUUUGUGUAAUUUUUUGUGAUACAUUUUGGAAAGUCUUGAGUCAGAGGGUAUUUCUUAGGAAAAAAUGAAAGAUGUUUUUAAAUAUUCUAAGUUCCCCAAACAUGUAAGAAAUUGUCUUAAAUACUGUAUGUUUUCAAAUGCCCCUCUUUAUCCCAUCAACCAAAGUUCAUAAGACUAAGAAUUUAGGUGGGGUAUAAGACAGUCAAAACAGCCUGUGUUGAGCUGGGGUCUCCUUGACCUCUUGGUCCUCUGUUUGGAUUGGAACCUCUCCCUGUUCUCAGGGAGGACUAUCAUGACCCCAUCACACCCAAGUGCUUCUGUAAUAAUCCUAAUUCCUGCCUUUUGCUCCAGCUCUUAUCCUAGUGAUGGGUUCAGGAAUCCUUGUAUAAUCCAAGAUGAAUCCUUCCCUGAAACUGUCUUAUAGGAGCUAAAACUUGAGUGUCCUCUUUCUCCAUGACAUAUCAGCUCAGAGGUUACCGUCCCUUUUCUAGAGAGACCGUGCUUACAGAGUCAAGAGUGCUGAGCCCCAUGUAGAAGCAGAAAUGAGAUCUGCUGAGACCUAAUAACUACUGAGUCCUCGUCCUCUAGUUCCAAGACUCUAGGCCUAGAACUGGGCUGGCUCACUUGGUUCUUCCUAUGAUCCAUUGUUAUUUUUUCAAUAUGUAACAGCUCUCACUCUGCCCCUCAGGCUGGCUCAAGUUGGGUUAUAGAAAUAUUUUUCUUUAAUAACACAGAAAAUUGAAUAAAAAGUAAAAGUAAGAGUAAUGAUGUUAUAAUCAUUAAAGUAUUAAAUGAAUUAAAAAUCACAGUAAGUACUUGGUACUUAGUGUGUGUAGUACAUACUCAAGUGUUUUUUUAACCAGAGAGAACAGUUAGGAUGCUCUGAUUGUCACAAGCUAAUGAAGACAUGCAGAAUCAAAGAGAACUGUUUAAGACCAAGUAAAUGAAGAAAUAGAAAAGAAUACAUUUACAAACGCCUCAAAUAGGGGAUAACAGGAAGUGAGAAGUGAGAGUCAUGCCAGGCUCUAGGCAUAGGAUGCCUUUAAAGGGAGACAGGGAGGAUGAGGUGUGGGGGGGGGAUGUUCUAAAAGGUUAUGCUGUUCUAUUCAAUUUAGAAUUUGCUGAUUUUGAGGUAAAAACAGGACAUCUAAAUAUAAAAUGGAAAUAAAUUGCUGUACACAGAAUUGAGUUGAGAAAUAAUGCAAGUGGCAGGUUUUAAAAUUUUUCUAUUCUUCCAAUUUAAAUAUAUUUUACUGGGGCCUUAUUUGUGUGCCAGGAACCAUGAAGAGUAGGAACCAACACACCUGCAAACCAGAGUCUCUUGUUUUAUGAAUUAUGGUGAGAUGAAAAGAGAGUAGAAUAACUACUAAAGAGGGCAUCGAGAGCACUAAAAUCGAGUCUAUGGUAGGCACUAGAAGCCGAGAGAGCACACUGGGGACACCUGACCCUAUUUCAGAGAUCAGAAUUUCUAUAGCUCCCAUGCACUCUUCAGGAAGCCUUAGACCUGCCUACAUUUGUCAAGUAAUUGACCCCAGUUAGUCUUAAAUGAUCAGGAACAACUAGCCAGGUAGAGAGGAAGAAAGAGUACUCAAAUAACUCCAGGGUAAUAUGGUUAAAGGUAAGAGAGAACACCCAGGGAGCCCCAAAUGUCCUUGCUGUCAUUUCCCAUUGACUUUAGGCUUCCCUAAGAACUCUUCCUGAUUGGCUGUUGUUGUGCUAAAGCCCUGUGGUCUGCUGGUAAUGCAGGUGGGAGGGAAAGUGUUCAUAAUCUUACCAUGAAAUCUGGUCUCAGUGGACCUACGUCCUAAGAUUGUGAGUUUUAUAAGUGCUUUUUAAGCUCUCUUUUUUAUUCUAAAUAAUACAGGGAGAUUAUAAUUUUAUUGCAUUGCUCUGUUUUUCUGCAUUAUUUUUUUUUUCUCCUAGAUAAUACAGGGGUUAGAGUUUGUGAGAUGCCCUUCCUGAGGUUGGAUGAAGCUCUGGUACAAACUUUUGCUCUGGAAAGCAGGCUUUUGUGAUAAGAGAAGGCUCUGAGUGUAUUUCACAAUGGUCACUUUCCUUUCUUCCACUAGAGCAAGAAAGAGGUCUGCUUGACUCCUAACCAUGGGAACCUGGUGGUUCCUGAAGGUAAAACCAGGACAGUGUGCCCAACCCCCAGGAGGGCACCCUUCUGAAUGUCUCAUUCUCAUAAUUUAUACUCAGCUUCAGCAAUUCUGAGUAUAAAGUAUGAGAAUCACUGUUUAAAUAUUUCUAAUAGUUUGCAACUCCAGUAGAUUGUUUGAGGCAAGCAGAUCUUGGCUGUACAUCUCUGUAUUUGUCUGUCUCUUCAGAUUUUGGAGUGGUGGUUUGGCCUAUGAACUCACUUUUCUGAUGUCUCCGAGAAAAGACAUUGAUUGAUAUUUUUGGUUCAAUUUUUAAAAAUUGUAAUGGUAGGAAUGAUGACUUAUAAGGUCUUUAUGUGUCAGAGUCAAAACUGAAAAUGUCACAAUGGAAUCAAAAUGGAAACCCAUAUAGGAAAAUAGCAGCAAAUUUAGGAAACACUUUGAGACACAUUUAUAAACAAUAAAUUAAUCAAAGAGGAAAUCUCAAAGGAAUAUUAAAAAAUACAUUGAACUGCCAGGCCUGGUUGUGGUGACUUU